UACGGAGGGUGCGAGCGUUGUCCGGAAUCAUUGGGCGUAAAGGGCGCGUAGGUGGCCCGGUCAGUCUUUGGUGAAAGCGCGGGGCUCAACCCUGCGUCGGCCAGGGAUACUGCCGCGGCUGGAGCACUGUAGAGGCAGGCGGAAUUCCGGGUGUAGCGGUGGAAUGCGUAGAGAUCCGGAAGAACACUGGUGGCGAAGGCGGCCUGCUGGGCUAUGGCUGACACUGAGGCGCGACAGCGUGGGGAGCAAACAGG
rnacentral:rRNA from 1 species